rnacentral:rRNA from 1 species
GAGUUUGAUCAUGGCUCAGAUUGAACGCUGGCGGCGUGCCUAACACAUGCAAGUCGAGCGGUAACAGGUGUAGCAAUACAUGCUGACGAGCGGCGAACGGGUGAGUAAUGCUUCGGAAUCUACCCUCUAGUGGGGAAUAACCAGCCGAAAGGUUGGCUAAUACCGCAUACGUCCUACGGGAGAAAGCAGGGGAUCGUAAGACCUUGCGCUGAUGGAUGAGCCGAAGUCGGAUUAGCUAGUUGGUGAGGUAACGGCUCACCAAGGCGACGAUCCGUAGCUGGUCUGAGAGGACGACCAGCCACACUGGGACUGAGACACGGCCCAGACUCCUACGGGAGGCAGCAGUGGGGAAUAUUGGACAAUGGGGGCAACCCUGAUCCAGCGACGCCGCGUGUGUGAAGAAGGCCUGCGGGUUGUAAAGCACUUUUAGUGGGGAUGAAAUGUGCAGGGUUAAUACCUCUGCAUUUUGACCUAACCCACAGAAAAAGCACCGGCUAACUCUGUACCAGCAGCCGCGGUAAUACG